rnacentral:rRNA from 2 species
UACGUAGGGUGCGAGCGUUGUCCGGAAUUAUUGGGCGUAAAGGGCUCGUAGGCGGUUUGUCGCGUCGGGAGUGAAAACCCAGGGCUUAACCCUGGGCUGGCUUCCGAUACGGGCAGACUAGAGGUAUGCAGGGGAGAACGGAAUUCCUGGUGUAGCGGUGAAAUGCGCAGAUAUCAGGAGGAACACCGGUGGCGAAGGCGGUUCUCUGGGCAUUACCUGACGCUGAGGAGCGAAAGUGUGGGGAGCGAACAGG